AUCUAGCCUGCGAACAGGCUCUCAAGCUGAAUUGAGAGCCUGCAUCGAUGACCAAUGAAUUUGAAUAUCUGCCCCGUAACGUUCGUUUUUCCAAAUAUGGAAUGUCUAUCCUUAUAUGGUGUUGUUUACAACUUUGGUGCAAACUAAAUUUAGACCAUGCAAAACUAAAUUUAGACCGUACAGUUUAUACUGUUUUUCGAAAUAUAAGAUAUUGAAGCAAAAGUUUAAAUGUUUUAAAUACUGUUUUCUCAAAACAGAACAUUUCGUGCUUUGAGAUAAGAUGGCCAAGACCAAUUUGAUCAGUUAAUGUGUUUUUUAUGCAUAGUGCUAGCAGUUGACAUAUAUAGAGCUCAGCGAAAUAAUAUAAAUUAUAGCAUCUGAC